rnacentral:rRNA from 1 species
UACGGGGGGGGCAAGCGUUGUUCGGAAUUACUGGGCGUAAAGGGCUCGUAGGCGGCCAACUAAGUCGGACGUGAAAUCCCCAGGCUCAACCUGGGAACUGCGUCCGAUACUGGAUGGCUUGAAUCCGGGAGAGGGAUGCAGAAUUCCAGGUGUAGCGGUGAAAUGCGUAGAUAUCGGGAGGAAGGCCGGUGGCGAAGGCGGCGCUCUGGAACAUUUCUGACGCUGAGGCUCGAAAGCGUGGGGAGCAAACAGG